GCGGGUAUAGUUUAGUGGUAAAAGUGUGAUUCGUUCUAUUAAUAACUGAAUUUGAAAUGAUAUACUUAAGGCAUCCUUAAGUUUUUUAUUUUUAUAUUCCGAUGAAAACUUUAGUUCUUAUAAAGGAUUAAAUCCUUUUCCUCUCA
rnacentral:tRNA from 2 species